rnacentral:rRNA from 1 species
AGCGAACGCUGGCGGCAGGCUUAACACAUGCAAGUCGAGCGGGCACUUUCAGGUUUCAGCGUCGGACGGGUGAGUAACGCGUGGGAACGUCCCAUGUGGUUCGGACUAACUCGGGGAAAAUCGAGCUAAUACCGGAUACGCCCUUUUAGGGAAAGGCUUGCUGCAGAACGUUCGGCCCGCGUCUGAUUAUCCAGUUGGUGAGGUAACGGCUCACCAAGGCGACGAUCAGUAGCUGGUCUGAGAGGAUGAUCCGCCACACUGGGACUGAGACACGGCCCAGACUCCUACGGGAGGCAGCAGUGGGGAAUAUUGGACAAUGGGCGCAAGCCUGAUGCAGCCAUGCCGCGUGAGUGAUGAAGGCCUUAGGGUUGUAAAGCUCUGUUAUCCGGGACGAUAAUGACGGUACCGGAGGAAUAAGCCCCGGCUAACUUCGUG